GAUGUUUAUUUAUAAACAGCAAUACUAAUAUUGUAACUCAGGAAGAGUUCAGAAAUCAAUGUCUGGUAAAAUAACCAGGAGGUUUUCAAUGGGGUUCAGUGCAGUAGGCUCUUCA